rnacentral:rRNA from 1 species
AUUGAACGCUGGCGGCAUGCCUUACACAUGCAAGUCGAACGGCAGCACGGGAGCAAUCCUGGUGGCGAGUGGCGAACGGGUGAGUAAUAUAUCGGAACGUGCCCAGUCGUGGGGAUAACGUAGCGAAAGCUACGCUAAUACCGCAUACGAUCUAUGGAUGAAAGCGGGGGAUCGCAAGACCUCGCGCGAUUGGAGCAGCCGAUAUCAGAUUAGGUAGUUGGUGAGGUAAAGGCUCACCCAAAGCCGACGAUCUGUAGCUGGUCUGAGAGGACGACCAGCCACACUGGGACUGAGACACGGCCCAGACUCCUACGGGAGGCAGCAGUGGGGAAUUUUUGGGACAAUGGGCGCAAGCCUGAUCCAGCAAUGCCGCGUGCAGGAUGAAGGCC